AAGAGUGGCUCCUGUUGACUCUGGAUUUUGGUGGAUUAUAUUGCUCCGGGCAUACACAAAAUCUACUGGUGAUAUAUCAUUGGCUGAAAUGCCAGAAUGUCAAAAGGGUAUGCGCCUAAUUUUGAGUUUAUGUCUUUCGGAGGGGUUUGACACGUUUCCAACUCUUCUUUGUGCUGAUGGAUGCUGCAUGAUUGAUCGUAGAAUGGUGAGUUUCUGUUAAUUUUGCAUCUCAGAACUCAUAGCUUAUUAGGUGGUAAAAGGGCAAGAACAUUACAAUGAGAAGCUUUUGUAUUAAUUCAGGGAAAUUUAUUUCAUAGGACCGUCCCAUAGUCCUCUACUCUCAAACGAUAUGUUUGUGAGAUGGAAUGACCAUGGGAUAGUCCAACCAAAUAAUUUUUCUUAUUUUAGAACUGUUUAGAACUAUCUAUUGUGGCAGUUCUAUUGACCAAUCUUGACUGCAACAGCUUCCUUACUAUUGGAUUUGUUGUGCUUCAUUUGUUUUUAGUUAAAUACCAUAUUUCUUACACAAAUCCAAACGGAUGUCUUCACGGUCAGGUUAUAAUUUUGGCUUUGGGAUGCAGGUCACAUGUCUAGAUAAGUCAAGUUGUUAGUAUGUAAUGGCUAACAGUCUCUUGCCUAGAUGGAAAUACAAUACUGCUAAGCACUUGUAGUUCUGAGUGAACCUAAGAGUGAAAGGGGGUAUAUCUGCUAAGAAAGGAUUAUGAUACAAUUAUUUUAGCCAAGCAGUUAUGAUUAUGACUCAACUGAGUUCCACUUUACUUGGACUCACUAUCGGAGAACUUCUCCUAUAUAAUUGACCAUCAUUUGUUCUCUUAGAUGACUGAGUUCCACUUGACUUGGACUCGCUAUCAGAGAACUUCUUCUCCUAUGUAAUUGACUAUCAUUUGAACUCUCAGAUCUGAUGACUUCAUGAACCAUUUGCCAGUAAUCAAAUCAUGGUUUCAUUCAUUAUAGGUUUUUCUGUAACAAUUGGUUUUGCUCUUUCUUAUAAAAUAGUUUCAUGAAGUUGUAUUUUGCAAUAUUGAGAACCACAUGUAGAGCUGAUUGAAAUUUUUAUUCUUAUCUUAUCUGAGUUCAUGUAUCAUUGUAUCUUAUCCUUAGUUAUUUAUUUCAUCAGGGUGUUUAUGGGUAUCCAAUGGAAAUUCAAGCACUUUUUUUCAUGGCUUUAAGAUGUGCUAUGCUUCUACUGAAGCAAGACGAAGAGGGGAAAGAGUUCGUAGAACGAAUUGCCAAACGGCUCCAUGCCUUAAGCUUUCACAUGAGGAGUUAUUUUUGGAUUGACUUGAAGCAGCUCAAUGAUAUAUAUCGCUAUAAAACAGAGGAAUACUCUCACACUGCAGUUAACAAGUUUAAUGUAAUACCUGAUUCUCUUCCAGAAUGGAUUUUUGAUUUUAUGCCAACUCAUGGUGGUUACUUUAUAGGGAACGUUAGUCCUGCAAGAAUGGAUUUCCGCUGGUUUUGCCUAGGUAAUUGUGUUGCAAUUCUUUCAUCUUUGGCAACCCCUGAACAAUCCAUGGCAAUCAUGGAUCUUAUAGAAUCACGGUGGGAGGAGUUGGUAGGAGAAAUGCCUCUCAAGGUAUGCUAUCCGGCCAUAGAGAGCCAUGAAUGGCGGAUUAUAACUGGAUGUGACCCCAAAAACACCAGAUGGAGUUACCACAAUGGAGGAUCCUGGCCAGGUAUGUUUUGGACUUAAAUUCCUUGAAAUCUGACAUAACUCUGAAAUAUUAGCUGGAUUCUUCAUUUGAAUUUCCUGCACAUCAGUUUCCAAUAUUUUAAUUUACGAUUUGCAGUAAACUCAUUGAACUAAUCAAGAUAAUUCCGAGUUCCAUUUCAAUUACCUUUAUUCUUAAAUAUUCCUGCUUUUUUGGAGAUAUAUUUUGACUAUUGCAAUGGAUGCAGUGCUUCUGUGGCUUCUCACAGCUGCUUGUAUCAAGACUGGACGGCCGCAAAUUGCAAGGCGAGCCAUUGAGCUUGCAGAAAAUAGGCUGUUGAAAGACAAUUGGCCUGAAUAUUAUGAUGGGAAGCUCGGACGAUACAUUGGAAAGCAGGCCAGGAAGUUCCAAACCUGGUCUGUUGCAGGUUACUUGGUGGCAAAAAUGAUGCUGGAAGAUCCCUCCCAUUUGGGUAUGGUGUCACUUGAGGAGGACAAACAAAUGAAGCCCCUCCUUAAAAGAUCAAAUUCAUGGACAUUCUGAUGUUAUUUGUUUAGAACUUCUACAUGCAUCUACCUAUUUUUAGUUUAAAUUUUAGAUUCACAUGCCAAACUCUUUUUAAGUGUUGGUACUUCGUAGCUGACUAGGAUUUGACAUUGUUAAUGACUUUUGCCUAUAUAUUUGUUCAAUGCUAAUAGUAAAUUUCCCCUACAUCUGUCCUGA
rnacentral:misc_RNA from 1 species